rnacentral:lncRNA from 1 species
GGAUACAUUGGAGUAUGUGGCAAAAUCUAUCUUUUAAAGGAGAAAGGGGGUCUUGGUUUUCAUAAUUUAUGCCAGUUUAAUAUUGCGUUGUUAGCUAAGCAAGGAUGGCGUCUUCUUACUUAUUCGAAUUCAUUGUUAGCAAGGGUUCUUAAAGCUAAAUAUUUUUCGCAAUCGAAUUUUCUUAACGCUCAGUUAGGUAACCUACCUUCACUUACCUUGAAGAGUAUCUGGGCUGCCACAGGCUUGCUCCGGGAUGGGCUGUGUUGGAGAGUUGGACGAGGGACUGGAAUUUCUGUAUGGGAUGACUGUUGGAUCCCAGGUAUCAAUCCAAGAGUGUAACACCCCCUACCCGUAUUCAUUGUCAGAAUAGGGUACGAGGCAUUAUCGGAGUUUACUGAACAUUUUCAGAUAAGUUUGAGUCAUUUAUUAUUCAUAUUUUGAAAUAAUCAUAACGUCUCUCUAUUGGGCCCUUGAAGACCAAAACAUACAUUAGAAACCAACUGAAAUAAAAUCGAGAUCAUAAAAAAAUUUCGCAAAAUCUUAAAUUAUAUUUUCAUCUAAGUACUUACCAUUUCAAUGUUCCUUAUAAUUAAGCAUGUUACCAUUCAAUCAAUAGCUUGACACUUGUCUAAGUAUCAAACAACAACAUUGUUAAUAUACUUGCACAUAUUUCAUAUAAAUUCAACAUUGAUAUACCUAUUUUCUCAACAUAUCACACUUGAGUUUAAUAAUAGUCUCAACUUACAUAAUUUCCUUGUAUCAACAUAUCAAAGAUAAUUAUAUAUGUACACGUCACAAAAUAUAUUAUUCUCUUACUGUUUCUUCAUAAGCAUAUAUCAUUCAUUUCGUUAUAUCAAUAUUUCAUACACCAUCAUUUCCUUGUAUCUUGUAUAUAUUUAUUUCGGUAAUAGUUCGUAUUAAACUUAACAUAAAUUAAAUUCCAUGUACCUGUACUUAUUUCAUUUAUCUAUCUUCUUAAUUAUUUCAUACAACUAUUUUGUACAUAUAUUUCCAUAUGACCAAUUCCUGUAAACAUUUCACACAACCAUUUUAUAUAACCAUUCCAUCUGAUACAUAUUACCUGAAUAUCGAUUGUUCAAUUGAUAUCUUGGCGUUUCUCUUCCUCGAUCUUAUUUAUCUUCGACAUGAUGUCAUAGUAUCUUUCAACUAUAGUUUCACUCGUUUUCUGUCAUGUUGCCAUGGUAUCUUUCAACCAUGGUUUUAUUCAUUUUCCCGUCAUGUUGCCAUAGUAUCUUUCAACCAUGGUCUUACUCAUUUCAUGUCAGGUUGCCAUGGUAUCUUUCAACCAUGGUCUUAUUCAUUUUAUAUCACGUUGCCAUGGUAUCUUUCAACCAUGGUCUAACACAUUUCAUAUCACGUUGCCAUGGUAUCUUUCAACCAUGGUCUUACACAUUUCAUAUCAGGUUGUCAUUAUAUCUUUCAACUAUUAUCUUACACAUUCCAUAUCAGAGAGCACACUCCCGCGAACCUCAUCUUUACAGUAAGAUUACCAGUCCAGGCUAAAUCCCCUGUAAUAUAAACUAAUAGAGUAUUGUCGGGAUUACCAGUCCAGGCUAAAUCCCCUGCAACGACAAUUAUUCUAAUGAGCUUGGAUCUGAAUUACCAGUCCAGACUAAAUUCAGACCCUAAUUCGGAUUACCCGUCCGGGCUAAAUCCAUUUUCCACAUAUUCUUCGGGAAGGCUAUAUCAGGAUAGGAUUACCCGUCCGGGCUAGAUCCUUUUUAUCGUCAAUUCCUUUUCAGAGAUCCAUCGAAUUUUCCUUCCAUUCAACCGAGAUUUUUUUUUCUUUUUUUUUUCAAAUAUAUCAAUGUUUCAUAAAUUUCCAUAUAAUGAACAUUCAAAUCAUAUUCAUAUAAAAAAACAUUCAUAUCAAGCAUUUAAGAAUAUAAUUCAAGUUACACGAACUUACUUGGCGAAAUUGCAAAAAUAUCAAGAUUAAGGGGCAUUUUGGUAAUUUAUCAUUUUCCCAAUUUUCGCCCGAUCUUAAAUUGAAAAUUUCAUUCAAUUUAUUAAUUUAGAUAAUAAAAAAAUUCAUUUCCUUCAAUUUGGUCAUUUUUGACAUUUUUACAAAAUUACCCCCUAAAAUUUUACUUUUAUUCAAUUCAGCCCUUAAGCCUAAAACAUGCAAAUUAGCCAUCCUAACUGAAUAUUCAUAUAUAUUUUCCUCUUCCUCCUCUCCAUUCCACAUCCUUAAUGUAUAUAACACACUUGUAAGUAACAUUAUCUAUAAUCUUUAUUAUUUACUUUUAUGAAUAUUCAAGCUGUCUAUCUGUGUUAUAGUCACUAAAUUAUUUAUAUCGGGAGCUAUAUAACUCCAAAUUAAGAUCCAAUAAUUUUACUUAAAACUAGACUCAUAUAUAUUCUUACCACAAAAUUUUCAGAAUUUUUGGUUUAUCCAAUAAGUACAGUUUAUUUUUUAAAGUUACCCCUAUUCUGCUGUCUAACAGUUCUGACUCUUCUUCACUAAAAAUUAAUUAUAUCCUCGUACAAGAUUCAAAUGGUGUUGUCAUUUGUUUCUAUGGAAAAUAAGCUCAUUAAUGAUUCUAAACAUAUAAAUUUAAACCCCUAAUUAUUUUCUCCAAUUUUUUAUGAUUUUCUAAAGUCAAAACAAGAGAACCCAAAAUCAUUCUGGCCUUAUCUCAUAAAAUUUAUUAUAUUUCAUGAUUCACAAUUCCAAUGUUUACAUCGUUUCUUUUAUAAGAAACUAAACUCAUUAAGCUUUAAUUUCAUAAUUUAUUAAUCCUCUAAUUCGAUUUAUAUAAUUUUUUAUGAUUUUUCAAAGUUACACUACUGCUGCUCUCCAAAACAGUUUUAGUAAAAAAUUUUAAUUUUCAUUUUACCCCAAAUUUCACAGUUUAUACAAUUCAAUCAUUACUCAAUUAACCCCUCAAUUGAGCUAAUUUUUCUCGAUUAAUACUUUAGUCUAUCAUUUUAAACUUCUUCAUAACCCCUCAAAAUCAGAACUUUAACAUUAGACAUUAAUUUCAAACUCUUUCUUAAUUAAGUCCUAAAAUAAAUUUACAUCAAUUUUACUUGAUAAAAUCAUCAUAUACCAAAAAAGCUUCAAUUCUAUGAUUAUUCAUUAUAUUAUUUCAGCACUCAUCCAUAAAAAUUUUAAAAAUUAGCCAUGGAAUCAAAAACUAAUAAAAUAGUAAGUUGGACCCAAUUGUAAAAUUUCCAAAACAUAAAAAUUUCAAAGAAAAAGCAAGAAUUAAACUUACAUAAAACUAGAGCAUAAAAACCAACUUGAACCCCCUUCCAUGGCUGUUUUUAAGUUGACGAAUAUGAAAAAAAAUGAAAAGAAUUCUAGAUAUUCCAAUUUAGUCCUAUUUUUAUUUAGCUAAUUUUGACAAUUUUCCAAUUUUUCCCUUAUUUCACCCAUUUUCUGAUUGAUUUUUCUCAGCUAUUGCUGCCCAAAAUAUCUCCUUUGAACUUAUUUUCACUUUAAGUCCUUCCUCAUUUGACAACUAAACUAUUUAAUCUUUUUAGCAACUUUUACAUAUUUUCCAAUUUAAUCCUUUUUAUUUAAUUGAUCACCCAAACGUCAAAAUUUUCUAACAAUUUUAAUACUACCUUAUUGACAUUCCAUAAAUAUUUAUAAAAAUAUUUAUGACUCGGUUUAUAACAUCAAGAUCUCGAUACUUCUUUUUCUCAAUUUCUUGACCAAAUAAAUCUUUAUAAAACACAAUUUACUAUUCCAAAAAUCUUUUAAAAACUACAUUUGGCUAGUAAAUAUUAAAUAAUAUAAUCUACGAGUUCAUUUGUCGGAUUUGAUGGUCUCGAACCACUAUUUUCGACAUCGUUGAAAUUCAUGCUAUUACAAGGAGAAUGGCCCAACAGAGAUGAUAAUGAAAUUAAGUUAGUUGCAGACUUAGAAAAUGGAAGACAGACUUGAUUAGGCGUACCUUUCCAACAGAAAUUGCCCUCAAAAUACUGUAGAUUCCUCUAGCAGAAACUCCUCGUGAGGAUUUUCAAGUGUGGAAAGGUGAACCAUCUGCAGAAUUUUCAGUGAGGAGCGCCUACAAACUAUUACAAGAGUCUAGCUUGGAUCCUAAUUUUUUAUUAAUACAGGCCGAUAUUAAGGAUUUUUAUAAAAAGCUAUGGAAUCUACAGCUUCCUUCCAAAAUAGCAAUUACAGUAUGGAGAAUAUCCUGGAACUAUCUUCCUACUCUCGUUAAUUUAAAAUACAAACGAGUUACUAGUAAUGUAGCAUGUCCUCGUUGCGGAAGAGAGGAAGAAAAAAUCACUCAUAUCUUUCGGCAGUGUCCUGUAACAGUUGAGGUAUGGCAAUUAUUAGAUCUAUCUGGAUUAUUGGAAGUACGAAUCAGGGAUUCUGGGAAUGAAUUACCUGGGUUUUCAAGAUGAGUACUACUGAGCAGUGUAAAAGGAUCUGUUGUGGCAUGUGGUUUAUUUGGAGCUCGCGAAAUAUACUCAAACAUGAAAGAAAAUCGGAGACAAGGGGAGUUAUCACAUAAAGUUAAAAAAUAUAUAGCCGAACUUGAAGGUCUAGAGGAGAGAACAAGUACCUCAAAUAUGAAUCGUAGUCAUAGUCAUCAAGAGCUUCAUAACGGAGUGACGAUUACUUUUGACGCAACCUUUGAUAAAAUGACUCUUAAAUCAACAUCGGGGGUGGUGGUUUGGGGCCGGUCAAGUAGACUCUCCGCAAUAAAGACAGUCCUGCACACAAAUGUUCCUUCUCCUUUUGCCGCAAAAGCCCUUGCAGGUCUACAAGCGACGAAACUAGGGAUUACGAUGAAUCUCCCCUCAGUAAUGGUCAUGGGGGAUUCCAGGACUAUCAUCAAGAAAUGUCAAUCCAUGGAGAAAGACAAGUCAGUCAUAGAGGCUAUUAUUCGACAUCCAGAGCAAGAAGAUUAGUUUUCAAAAUAUCCGAUUCCAGUUUAUAAACAGAACAUAUAACAUAUUUGCACACAAGAUCGCUCGAGAAGCUUUAAAGAAAGAAGAUUAGACAUACUUGGUGCCAGCGAAUGGGGGUUCCUCUCUGUAUCUGGAAGGGCACUGGAGAAGAGAACCAGACUAAGGAGUGAAGUAUGAGGGAAGAAAUGAAACGGGUAGCAGGUAAAGAAAAUUUUGAAACGGCUACCAUCUGAAACAGAACGGACAGAUGAUGGGACAAGACGACGAAAAGAGGUCUACAGCUGUUUUUUUUAUUUGACUAGUCUUAAAGAUUAGGUUUCUUUUUUCUACAGCAUUUAUUGUUUUUGUUUUUUUCUGUAGUUCCUUUACAUUUGCUUUUACUUUACUCAUGGCAGACUAAAACCGCCAUUUUUUUCUUUAGACCUUAGCCCAGUUUGGAUGACUCAGUUUGGGUGGUCUUAUUUUUGGGCUUCUUUUGUAAUACACUGAAAAUUUUUACAGUAAG